rnacentral:rRNA from 1 species
UGGAUGAUGUGGAUUAAUUCGAUGCAACGCGAAGAACCUUACCUACCCUUGACAUGUCCGGAACUUGCCAGAGAUGGCUUGGUGCCCGAAAGGGAAUCGGAACACAGGUGCUGCAUGGCUGUCGUCAGCUCGUGUCGUGAGAUGUUGGGUUAAGUCCCGCAACGAGCGCAACCCUUAUCAUUAGUUGCUACGCAAGGGCACUCUAAUGAGACUGCCGGUGACAAACCGGAGGAAGGUGGGGAUGACGUCAAGUCCUCAUGGCCCUUAUGGGUAGGGCUUCACACGUCAUACAAUGGUCGGUACAGAGGGUUGCCAAGCCGCGAGGCGGAGCCAGUCCCACAAAGCCGAUCGUAGUCCGGAUUGUUCUCUGCAACUCGAGAGCAUGAAGUCGGAAUCGCUAGUAAUCGCAGGUCAGCAUACUGCGGUGAAUACGUUCCCGGGUCUU